CCUACGGGAGGCAGCAGUAAGGAAUAUUGGUCAAUGGGGGCAACCCUGAACCAGCCAUGCCGCGUGCAGGAUGAAGGCCCUAUGGGUCGUAAACUGCUUUUAUACCGGAGAAAACCACCGUACGUGUACGGUGUUGAUAGUAUGGUAAGAAUAAGCAUCGGCUAACUUCGUGCCAGCAGCCGCGGUAAGACGAAGGAUGCAAGCGUUAUCCGGAUUCAUUGGGCUUAAAGGGUGCGUAGGCGGACCUGUAAGUCAGUGGUGAAAUCUCUUUGCUUAACAAAGAAACUGCCAUUGAUACUGCAAGUCUAGAGUAUAGAUGACGUUGGCGGAAUAUGACAUGUAGUGGUGAAAUACUUAGAUAUGUCAUAGAACACCGAUUGCGAAGGCAGCUAACGAAACUAUAACUGACGCUGAGGCACGAAAGUGCGGGGAUCAAACAGGAUUAGAUACCCUGGUAGUCCGCACCGUAAACGAUGAUUACUCGUUGUUGGUCAAUAUGACCGUCAGCGACCAAGCGAAAGCGAUAAGUAAUCCNCCGNGGGAGGUACGGCCGGCGACGGUAGUAACGUUAACGUUAGUAGUUAGUACGGCGUGAGACGUUGCGACGGACGACGACGGAGGGGAGGAGGG
rnacentral:rRNA from 1 species